rnacentral:rRNA from 1 species
CGAAUUCCAAGCUUCGCGGCCUAUCAGCUUGUUGGUGAGGUAAUGGCUCACCAAGGCGACGACGGGUAGCCGGCCUGAGAGGGUGACCGGCCACGCUGGGACUGAGACACGGCCCAGACUCCUACGGGAGGCAGCAGUGGGGAAUAUUGCACAAUGGGCGCAAGCCUGAUGCAGCGACGCCGCGUGAGGGAUGACGGCCUUCGGGUUGUAAACCUCUUUCAGUAGGGAGGAAGCGAAAGUGACGGUACCUGCAGAAGAAGCGCCGGCUAACUACGUGCCAGCAGCCGCGGUAAUACGUAGGGCGCAAGCGUUAUCCGGAAUUAUUGGGCGUAAAGGGCUCGUAGGCGGUUUAUCGCGUCUGCCGUGAAAGUCCGGGGCUCAACUCCGGAUCUGCGGUGGGUACGGGCAGACUAGAGUGAUGUAGGGGAGACUGGAAUUCCUGGUGUAGCGGUGAAAUGCGCAGAUAUCAGGAGGAACACCGAUGGCGAAGGCAGGUCUCUGGGCAUUAACUGACGCUGAGGAGCGAAAGCAUGGGGAGCGAACAGGAUUAGAUACCCUGGUAGUCCAUGCCGUAAACGUUGGGCACUAGGCGUGGGGGACAUUCCACGUUUUCCGCGCCGUAGCUAACGAG